ensembl:lncRNA novel transcript
GAUGACAAUGUUCAUUCAUUAAUAAAACCUUUAGAAUUGGAACUACAAAAAAUAGUGCAUACAUAUCGUGGAAAAAUUUACUAAAUAUUUAUCAAACAAUUAGCAAAAACAUAAGAGAUCGCUAUGUCAGAUCACCAAAGGAAAGGUGAUUCUUGUUGCCUGCUACAUCAAAUGGAUGAAAAGAACAAAGCAUUGGAGGAUAAGUAUGAAGGAACUGUCUUGGGUGAAGCAUUAAGGCAGGAAUUAUUCAUCUACAGAAUUUUUUUUUUCCUGAAGAGGUUAAAUGAGCAGUAUUUUCAGGUAAUGAAGAAUAAGUUAAAAUCUUGGGCUUCAACAAAGAAAAAUUUUUGGCCUCUGAUGUUGUGUAAUGUUACUUACUAUCAUUCCAGUAUUGAUGAAAAUAUUAUUGAAUGGUUUUAGCCUGCAAACUUCUGUUGACUCAUACUCUCAAGAGUGGUGGGGCUGUGAAAAUGAAGAAAAUGUACCUCAAACACAGUGCAAACACUCAGAUGAGUCAGCUCUCUUCAGGAUGCGCAUUUAUUUCUCCCUUUGGAGGAGGCCUCAGUCCAGCUCAGCCAAGGACUGAAAG